rnacentral:rRNA from 1 species
UACGUAGACCUCAAGCGUUAUCCGGAUUUAUUGGGCGUAAAGAGCAUGUAGGAGGUUCGAUGCGUCUUCCGUUAAAGACCACCGCCUAACGGUGGAAGUGCGGAGGAUACGAUCGGACUAGAGGAGGUUAGAGGUGCAUGGAACUCAUGGUGUAGGGGUGAAAUCCGUUGAUAUCAUGGGGAACACCAAAGGCGAAGGCAGUGCACUGGGCCCUUCCUGACUCUGAGAUGCGAAAGCGUGGGGAGCAAAAAGG